CCUGUUGGGAAGAACAGAACAAAGUGCAUUAAUCCAGUACCUGAUAGCCCUGGGAUCACUGAAACAAUCACUGAUUGAAGCAAUGUUCUGUCAGCUUGUCUCCCACUGACAGGCACUUCUGUAAGCCACUUGAAGCAGCUUUAAGAGUCAAGAGACUCACUUGAAGAGACAACCAUGCCCCUAUUUUAGAGAUAAAACAGUUGGAGCAUUAGUUCUAAACUACCUAAAUCUGGUACAAUUCUUCAAAAAUAAAAUGGAAAAUAUCUUAAAAGGA